CGCGGCCUAUCAGCUUGUUGGUGGGGUGAUGGCCUACCAAGGCAACGACGGGUAGCCGGCCUGAGAGGGUGACCGGCCACACUGGGACUGAGACACGGCCCAGACUCCUACGGGAGGCAGCAGUGGGGAAUAUUGGACAAUGGGCGAAAGCCUGAUCCAGCAACGCCGCGUGAGGGAUGACGGCCUUCGGGUUGUAAACCUCUUUCAGCGCCGACGAAGCGCAAGUGGCGGUAGGCGCAGAAGAAGCACCGGCCAACUACGUGCCAGCAGCCGCUGUAAUACGUAGGGUGCGAGCGUUGUCCGGAAUUAUUGGGCGUAAAGUGCUCGUAGGCGGUUUGUCGCGUCGGGAGUGAAAUCACGGGGCUUAACCCCGUGCCUGCUUCCGAUACGGGCAGACUAGAGGUAUGCAGGGGAGAACGGAAUUCCUGGUGUAGCGGUGAAAUGCGCAGAUAUCAGGAGGAACACCGGUGGCGAAGGCGGUUCUCUGGGCAUUACCUGACGCUGAGGAGCGAAAGUGUGGGGAGCGAACAGGAUUAGAUACCCUGGUAGUCCACACCGUAAACGUUGGGCGCUAGGUGUGGGACUCAUUCCACGAGUUCCGUGCCGCAGCUAACGCAUUAAGCGCCCCGCCUGGGGAGUACGG
rnacentral:rRNA from 1 species